UACGGAAGGUCCAGGCGUUAUCCGGAUUUAUUGGGUUUAAAGGGAGCGUAGGCCGCUUGGUAAGCGGGCAGUGAAAUGCAGAGGCUCAACCUCUGACUUGCUGUUCGAACUGUCAGGCUUGAGUACGCACGAGGUAGGCGGAAUUUGUGGUGUAGCGGUGAAAUGCUUAGAUAUCACAAAGAACUCCAAUUGCGAAGGCAGCUUACCGGAGCGCAACUGACGCUGAAGCUCGAAAGUGCGGGUAUCGAACAGG
rnacentral:rRNA from 1 species